rnacentral:pre_miRNA from 1 species
AGUGAAAUUGCUGGGUCAUACGGUAACUUUAACAUUUUAAGAAACUGCCAAAAUAUUUUCUAAAGCAGCUGCACCAUUUUACAUUCCCACUAGCAGU